rnacentral:rRNA from 2 species
GUUCUGUAUGGAAGGGCCAUCGCUCAACGGAUAAAAGGUACUCCGGGGAUAACAGGCUGAUACCGCCCAAGAGUUCAUAUCGACGGCGGUGUUUGGCACCUCGAUGUCGGCUCAUCACAUCCUGGGGCUGUAGUCGGUCCCAAGGGUAUGGCUGUUCGCCAUUUAAAGUGGUACGCGAGCUGGGUUCAGAACGUCGUGAGACAGUUCGGUCCCUAUCUGCCAUGGGCGUUGGAGAUUUGAGAGGGGCUGCUCCUAGUACGAGAGGACCGGAGUGGACGAACCUCUGGUGUUCCGGUUGUCACGCCAGUGGCAUUGCCGGGUAGCUAUGUUCGGAAGCGAUAACCGCUGAAAGCAUCUAAGCGGGAAGCGCGCCUCAAGAUGAGAUCUCCCGGGGCACAAGCCCCCUGAAGGAACCAUGUAGACUACGUGGUUGAUAGGUCAGGUGUGUAAGUACAGCAAUGUAUUGAGCUAACUGAUACUAAUGAUCCGUGCGGCUUGACCAUAUAACCUCA